rnacentral:rRNA from 1 species
AGUGAACGCUGGCGGCAGGCCUAAUACAUGCAAGUCGAACGGCCACACAAUAAGCUUUCGCCUUUACCGUUAGCGACUGACGGAUGAGUAAGACGUACAUCACAAACUUCUAUUACUGGGAUGAUUUCGUGAAACCGGUGCUACUAAUACAUAAUAUGUUCUACCGCUGAGUGCAAUAGAUAUUGGCGCCUUUCCUGUCACUUUUAGCUGAUGCCGCAUUAGCUAGUUGGCUUGGUAAGGGCUUACCAAGGCGACGAUACGUAGCUGACCUGAGAGGAUGAUCGGCCACACUGGAACUGAGACACGGUCCAGACUCCUACGGGAGGCAGCAGUGGGGAAUAUUCGACAAUGGGCGAAAGCCUGAUCCAGCAAUACCGCGUGGGUGAAGAAGGCCUUCGGGUUGUAAAGCCCUGUUGUUAGGGAAGAAAAGCAGUAGGUUAAUACCUGGAUGUCCUGACGGUACCCGAUGAAAAAGCAACGGCUAACUACGUG